CCUACGGGUGGCAGCAGUGAGGAAUAUUGGUCAAGGGACGAGAGUCUGAACCAGCCAAGUAGCGUGAAGGAUGACUGCCCGAUGGGUUGUAAACUUCUUGUAUAGGGGAAUAAAAUGUUCCACGUGUGGGAUUUUGUAUGUACCAUAUGAAUAAGGAUCGGCUAACUCCGUGCCAGCAGCCGCGGUAAUACGGAGGAUCCGAGCGUUAUCCGGAUUUAUUGUGGUUAAAGGGAGCGUAGGUGGAUUGUUAAGUCAGUUGUGAAAGUUUGCGGCUCCCCCGUAAAAUUGCAGUUGAAACGGGCGGUCUUGCGUACAGUAUCGGUGGGCGGCUUUCGUGUUGUAGCGG
rnacentral:rRNA from 1 species